AUUGAACGCUGGCGGCAGGCCUAACACAUGCAAGUCGAGCGAGCGGCGGGCGGGUGAUUAAUGUAUGGGGACUGCCCGAUAGAGGGGGAGACCUACUAGAGACGCUAGCUAAUCCCGCAUCCUAUCGGAAAACCCAUAUUGGAUUAGCUAGUAGGUGAGGUAAGGGCUUAACUAGGCGACUGUCCCUAGCUGGUCUGGGAGGAUGGUCAGCCACACUGGGACUGAGACACGGCCCAGACUCCUACGGAGGCAGCAGUGGGGAAUAUUGCACAAUGGGCGCAAGCCUGAUGCAGCCAUGCCGCGUGUAUGAAGAAGGCCCUAGGGUUGUAAAGUACUUUCAGUCGGGAGGCGUUACCGACAGAAGAAGCACCGGCUAACUCCGUGCCAGCAGCCGCGGUAAUAC
rnacentral:rRNA from 1 species